GGCUCGCUCUGCAUUUUAUGCAGCAUGAAUAAUAAGUUGUGCUGUCUUCAAAAGCAUGGUCUGCUUGAUAGUGAACUGCAGACAGCUCAUUUUAAGAGAGUAUCUGGAGCACAUGAAAAAGCAGCAUCAGACUGGAAAUAGAGUUGUCCCAUGGCUUCUAAGUACUUUAAUUUUAUAUGGAAAAUUGGUGUAAUGUUGGUAAGUGAAGUAGGGCCUGUUUUUGUUGGAGGUAGGAUUGAGUAUUCCUUCAAUAUUGAUUCUGAUCACUUAUCUAUCCCUGAAUUAGUAGAUAUUGCAAAGGAUUUUGGGGUUACUAAAUUGGGAACCACUUAUAUUGCACCUUCUAAGGGUGGCAAAUUGGUAAAACUAGAGAAAGACAAGAAUUUGUUAGACCUUGGAGUAUUGUUGAAUGAUGGGGACACAAUAGAUAUAUUUAUCUGCAAUGACUCUAAUUUUGAGGAUGUGGGGCAUGUUGGCCAACAUGUGAAUGUUGAAAAGGGAGGUGGUAGUCAAUUAACUAAUAUAAAUGGGGGCAGCAGGGAAUCUGAGCCUUUAUUUAUUCCACACCCACCAAUAAUUGCACCAGCUCCAACUAUAGAUCUAGAUCUAGAGUUUCCUUCUUCUCUAAAUACUUCUGA